rnacentral:lncRNA from 1 species
AAAUUUGAGCAGCUGUAUAGAAAAUGUCAUAACUAUUUCUAUACCAAUGAUUUUGAGGUGGUUCUUUCUGCUAUGGUUUCUAUAAAAAUGGAAGUGUAAUUCUGGAAAAUAUAAGAUUUUUAUUAAUUGUACAUAAGUUUUGGUGUAAUUUCUAAGUCAGUACCUACAAGCUGCCUUCAUUAACAAAUAUGUUGAUUUGUUGUCAUUCAUCUCAUGCAUCAUAUUAAUAUCUAGAAUAUAUGUUAUUUUGUUGAAAUGUGAUAUUUUAUUGAUAGUAAAUAU